CCCUCGCCAGAUCUCCCCCCGACCACUAUACUUCUCUCGCUGCACCGGCGGCCCUCCCCAUCACCCUUGUCGCCUCCCACGACGCCCUCACCUAUGCGCGUGUCGCUGCCCCAACGAAGCCCUCGCCAGCACGCUCCUGGCCUCCCUCCCUGCUCCCCCCAUGGCACACCAUAAGCGCACACGAGGGGCGGCAUCAACUUCCCCCCAUGGCAGACCAGGAGCAGCCCCUCCCUCGACUACGCCGCGGCAUUGAGAGCCGGGGCCUUCGGAGCUGGGGGAGCCGAGCUCCGCGGCGGGCGGCGGGGAGGCGCGGGUGAUGUGGGACGACCCCGUGGUAGCGGAGACGGGGGAGGCGCCCAACGCAGUGGCGCAUCCGUUCGACCCCAAGCUGGUGUCCAGCAGCCGCCGGCAAGCAGGUGAUGGCCUCUGCGACGUGUUGUUGUUGUUUCUUGGAGUUCUUGGAGUCUCUAGAGUGCGUUCUUGAGCUUUUGGCCUUUUGGGAACUGCUGGACACUACAACGCCACGGCCACAACAGAGCGAGCCGCACGAAUCGAUUCACCACAGUGAGGCAUAGACCGAAACCUAGCUUGCUUCGUCGAUUCGCGGCGGCGGGGAUGGCGACCGGCGUGGGGCCGUGGGCUUGUGUCGACCGGCGCUGCUGCUGCGCUGCUAGCGGGUGGCCGGUCGGGCGGUCGGCGGUCAUCCUCACAUCCUGUUGGAGGCUUGGAGAUCUCACCUCUGACUCGAGGUUUGAGCCUCUCGGCCUCUCGCCUCUUUAUGUUGAUAACCGGAGUAGUCCUACUGUAAAUUGAGCUAGCUCUAGUGUUAAUGUGUAUGUAUAUUACUGGUUGCUCUUGUUGCGCUGUCAGGUGAAAGCAGUUCUCCUGUAAUCCCGAGUUUCGGUCAUAUGGUUCUGAACUUCUGAUAUUAGCAUAUAUGCUUUCUUUUAAACUGGGUGGAUGUUGGUUGGCAUAUAGUAUGAGUAGUUCUUAUCUUCCUUUUAAAUUCCUUUGAAGUGGUGCUUUGUACUGACUAAUGAUGAUACUAGUUAUUUGCUACUGCUCCUAAUGCUCUAGUAGAAGAGGCUACUGAAGGGCACACCCAAGAACAGGGGGCUGCUCCAGAACAAGAAGCAUGUGCAAGUCUAGUGUAGACAAACAAGACAUCUGGACGAGAAGAAAAAGAACUGCAAGGCUGGUAAGGUCGAGACUCAUCUUGAAUUCCCUGGAUGUGAAAAGGUUAAAUUUGGUGAAGUUGUCAAAGCUCCACCAAAGUUAUCAUUCCCAAAGAGGUGAUCGACAGGUGAUCGACGCUGACAAGCGUGGCCCGGUGGCGCUGUGCUCUUCAACCAGUUAGAGGUGGACUUCACCGUGAAGCCCGAUGGCCACGUCGCACAGAUGAUCGUCCAGGUGAUUUCGACGCCGGAGGUCGCCGAUGUGGAGGACCUUGACGCCACCGUCCGCGAGAGGGAGUAUUCGUGUCCAGCGGCGUCUGAACUCCUAGCCUUGUAGAUACAUCUAGAGAGGUGGUCUGUUUAGGUUGGUCAUAGGGAAGGUACCCACCUUACGAUGAUGGUUGUGUGUGUCUGAUGUUAAAUGAAAGCUUGAGAUGGUUCUGUGAGUUGGUUUGGUUUGCACUGGACGUA